rnacentral:tmRNA from 1 species
GGGGAUGAUCGGCUUCGACAAAGAGAUUGUUGUGUUUGUGUGCGUUAUGGAAGUGAGCGACUUCCUAAAAACGUUCAAACCCGAUAAGUGCAAAUAAAACUGCACGCGGAAUCCUUUCACCUUUCCAGAUGAAGGAUUUCGGCUUCGCUUACGCGUAAUACGUCUAAGCGACCGUCUUCGUGUUUGAUGUUCGAUAGAGCAUAGAAGGCGUCAUUUUUUCGGACUCGAGUAGUGUGUCGCUUUGCAUACUGCUUCAAAUUUAAGAAGAUCGACAUCGUAUGAUUGUGUAUUUCCUUUACGUACGCUGUUUAAAUCAAAGGUAAUACUACGUAACGUAGAUUCACUAACACUUCCUCUUUUGGACGCGGGUUCGAUUCCCGCCAUCUCCACUA